AUUGAACGCUGGCGGCAUGCUUUACACAUGCAAGUCGAACGGUAACAGGCCUUCGGGUGCUGACGAGUGGCGAACGGGUGAGUAAUGCAUCGGAACGUACCCAGAGGUGGGGGAUAACGCAGCGAAAGCUGUGCUAAUACCGCAUGUGAUCUGAGGAUGAAAGCGGGGGACCGAGCAGCAAUGUUUGGCCUCGCGCCUUUGGAGCGGCCGAUGUCGGAUUAGCUAGUUGGUGGGGUAAAGGCCUACCAAGGCGACGAUCCGUAGCUGGUCUGAGAGGACGACCGGCCACACUGGGACUGGGACACGGCCAAGGCUCCUACGAGAGGCAGCAGUGGGGAAUUUGGGACAAUGGGCGCAAGCCUGAUCCAGCAAUGCCGCGUGCGGGAAGAAGGCCUUCGGGUUGUAAACCGCUUUUGGCAGGAACGAAACGGUGUCCGCUAAUACCGGGCGCUAAUGACGGUACCUGCAGAAUAAGCACCGGCUAACUACGUG
rnacentral:rRNA from 1 species